UCCCUGGUGGCUCAGAUGGUAAAGAAUUUGCCUGCAAUGCAGGAGACCCAGGUUCAAUCCCUGGGUUGGGUA
rnacentral:tRNA from 1 species